rnacentral:lncRNA from 1 species
UGUUGCGACACACCGUGCAACAUCUGUAGCCAGAGCAGGCGGCCACUCCCCGGUUCGCGCGAGCUGUCACGGUCCGAAUCGAACGGAAGCAAAGAUAGAAGAGAAUGAUGUAAAAACCCAAUGUAAACAUUGCAGUGAGGAAGUGCAUUUUUGCAAGUUUAGUUAAAUCAUUCAAUUACUGUUAAAAUAAGGAAAGUUGGUCUCUGUGAGCAGGAUAACAAACUGGAACGUUAGUUAUAGCCUAACUAGAGUUCACCUGUGAAACACCUUUGAAAGGUCACUUACCUGUCUAAGGACCAAUCCGGAGUCCGACCUGGAAGAGCUAAGGUAACCAGUCCAAUAUUGGACCAGUUUGCAAUAUUCUCGUGCCAGAAAAGGAAGAAAAGUGGAUCGGGAAACCACUUCUUGUAAGUAAGCCUAAGGAAAUCAAUUUACUAUUACUAAAUAAAC